UACGUAGGGUGCGAGCGUUAAUCGGCAUUACUGGGCGUAAAGCGUGCGCAGGCGGUUUUGUAAGCCAGAUGUGAAAUCCCCGGGCUUAACCUGGGAAUGGCAUUUGGGACUGCAAGGCUUGAGUGCGGCAGAGGAGACUGGAAUUCCUGGUGUAGCAGUGAAAUGCGUAGAUAUCAGGAGGAACACCGAUGGCGAAGGCAGGUCUCUGGGCUGACACUGACGCUCAUGCACGAAAGCGUGGGGAGCAAACAGG
rnacentral:rRNA from 1 species